GGGCCUGUAGCUCAGCGGCAGAGCAUCGCCCUUGCAAGGCGGGGGUCCCGGGUUCAAAAAUAACCCCCUUUCUUUCCCAAAAGAAAGGUGCUUAUCAGCCUCCAAAGAAAGGGGGCAUUGCUUUGCAAUGCCUUUGAAGGGAGACUGUUAUGGGGCUUGAUAUGCUUUGAAAAUCCCGGCGGGUCCA
rnacentral:tRNA from 1 species